rnacentral:lncRNA from 1 species
CCUCUUGGCUUGUCACCUUGGGCAACAAGUGGUAUCAGAGCAGGUGCUCUAUAAUUCCUUGCCUUUUUGAUUUUGACCUAACCGUCUAAAAGCCAAAGAUCAUGACAACUCAAAUAGACAGUUUUCUAGGAGAGGGACAGUUAAUUGAUCGACCUCCACUAUUUAAUGGCAUAAACUACACACAUUGGAAAGCACGCAUGCGCAUUUUUAUUCAAGCACAUGACUAUGAUUUAUGGAGUAUCAUAGUCAACGGGCUACACACAAACACUAAUCAUGAUAAGAAAAUGGCUCAGCAAAAUGCAAAA